rnacentral:tRNA from 3 species
GGGGCCAUAGCUCAAUGGCAGAGCGCCCCCUUGGCGUGGGGGAGGCUCCGGGUUCAAGUCCCGGUGGCUCCA